rnacentral:rRNA from 1 species
AGCUCCAAUAGCGUAUAUUAAAGUUGCUGCAGUUAAAAAGCUCGUAGUUGCAUUUCCGAGGCAAGGGAUUAGUCCGACCUUUGGUGGGUAUUUCAUCCUCUUGCCUCGUCCUUGAGUGGUGCUUCUUGGUAUUAAGUUAUCGAGGAGAUAGCCGCUCAUCGUUUACUGUGAGAAAAUUAGAGUGUUCAAAGCAGGCUUAUGCCGUUGAAUAUAUUAGCAUGGAAUAAUAAGAUAGGACCUCGGUACUAUUUUGGUGGUUUGAGAACCAAGGUAAUGAUGAAUAGGGACAGUUGGGGGUAUUCGUAUUCAGUUGUCAGAGGUGAAAUUCUUAGAUUUACGGAAGACGAACUACUGCGAAAGCAUUUACCAAGGAUGUUUUCA